rnacentral:rRNA from 1 species
UACGUAGGGGGCAAGCGUUGUCCGGAUUUAUUGGGCGUAAAGAGCGUGUAGGCGGUUUGGUAGGUCCGUUGUGAAAACUCGAGGCUCAACCUCGAGACGCCGGCGGAAACCAUCAGGCUAGAGUCCGGAGGAGGAGAGUGGAAUUCCUGGUGUAGCGGUGAAAUGCGCAGAUAUCAGGAAGAACACCCGUGGCUAAGGCGGCUCUCUAGUACGGUACUGACGCUGAGACGCGAAAGCGUGGGGAGCGAACAGG